GCAGACACAUUCCAGCCAAUCAGCAGCAGACCCUCCCUCCCAGACUCUCCCACCUCCUGGACAGCAUCCAUUUUUAAGCUGCAUUCUUAGUGAGCUGUCCAGGAGGUGGGAGGGUAUGGGAGGGAGGGUCUGCUGCUGAUAGGCUGGAAUGUGUCUG